rnacentral:rRNA from 1 species
AUUGAACGCUGGCGGCAUGCUUUACACAUGCAAGUCGAACGGCAGCACGGGAGCUUGCUCCCGGUGGCGAGUGGCGAACGGGUGAGUAAUAUAUCGGAACGUGUCCUGUAAUGGGGGAUAACGCAGCGAAAGCUGUGCUAAUACCGCAUACGAUCUAUGGAUGAAAGCAGGGGACCGCAAGGCCUUGCGUUAUAGGAGCGGCCAUAUCUGAUUAGCUAGUUGGUAGGGUAAAAAGCCUACCAAGGCGACGAUCAGUAGCUGGUCUGAGAGGAUGAUCAGCCACACUGGGACUGAGACACGGCCCAGACUCCUACGGGAGGCAGCAGU